rnacentral:rRNA from 1 species
GACGAACGCUGGCGGCGUGCUUAACACAUGCAAGUCGAACGGUGAAGCGCCUUCCUUUUUGGUGGGUGUGGAUGAGUGGCGAACGGGUGAGUAACACGUGAGUAACCUGCCCCCUUCUUCUGGAUAACCGCAUGAGAGUGUGGCUAAUACGGGAUAUUCUGGGUCUGUCGCAUGAUGGGUCUGGGAAAGAUAUUGUUUCGGUGGGGGAUGGGCUCGCGGCCUAUCAGCUUGUUGGUGGGGUGAUGGCCUACCAAGGCGGUGACGGGUAGCCGGCCUGAGAGGGUGGACGGUCACACUGGGACUGAGACACGGCCCAGACUCCUACGGGAGGCAGCAGUGGGGAAUAUUGCACAGUGGGCGCAAGCCUGAUGCAGCGACGCCGCGUGAGGGAUGGAGGCCUUCGGGUUGUGAACCUCUUUCGCCAGUGAAGCAGGCCUGCCUCGUUUGUGGGUGGGUUGACGGUAGCUGGAUAAGAAGCGCCGGCUAACUACGUG